rnacentral:piRNA from 1 species
UCCUCGUAUCUGGUUCGCGGUUGAGUG